GGGGGUGUUCUGGAUUCGACCUUAAGUUGGAGCGUCUGGCUGCAUGCCGAGGAUGAUGGUUGGCCUCGCAAAAAUAUCCAUCAAAACAAUAAAUGGCACACAUGAAGAAAUGCCUCUAGCUGCAUAAUAGUUCAGCUACGUUCCCCUGCCGAUACUCGCUAGGCAGACGGAGCGACGACUAGCGAGCAUAGCUUAGGCGGCUGUCUGCUGCGCCCUAGCCGUACUUCAACAGCGGACUGGCUGAUCCAAGCAGCGCGGUUUCGUCGCGGCUAGAUCGGCGAGAUAAAAAACGAGAACAAGCAUGUAGACGCCUUAUGUGAAGGCUUAGGGGACGCGGGUUCAAUUCCCGCCACCUCCACCA
rnacentral:tmRNA from 1 species